CAGAAGCCACUUUUAGAGACUGACAUAUGGUUUGACCACUGAGGAAGCUGACUGUGACUUUUGGGAAUACCCAUUAUCAAAUGCCGAUUUUGUUCUAGUUGGUCCUGGUCCUUCCAGCUUGGCAGCAGGUCAGUAGUCUUGGAGGGAAGUAUAGCACAAGGACUGUUGGACAAACUUCAUACCCUCCAGAACAACACCCUCUGCAACCUUGGACAUUGGCAUGUUUUUACCUCAGAGAACCCAGUGUUUGCCUGAAGAGUGACGUCGUUUCUUCAUUUGUUUGGCUCCUGCAGUGACCCUUUGGCCUUUACAUAGACAGCUCUUCAUCCAUCCUGGGCAGAGCUGCAUUCACUCCAGCUGGUCACUGACAUAGAGGGUGACGCCUCUUCCUCUUCCUCACCUGCCCUUGCUAUAGAUACUGUAUCCUUCCAUUCCACCACUCCAGUCCCAGGAACCACCCCAGCACACUGCCAUGAAGCCAAGGAGCUGGCAGCCCUGCAGGUGUGCCCAUGACUCCAGCUGCCUGUUCAUUCCCCAUCCUUUGCACAGAGGCAGGUAAGCUGGACUCUGAUGAAGGCAAAGUAGUGGCUGGAAUGGCUGGAAUUCCUUUGUGAUGCCAUUCAGGUGCCCUCCUGCUCAUCUGUGAUCCUCCCCCAUGUUCUGGGGAAGGUCUCUUGCUAGCCCUGGCUUUAAACUGAAACCUUUGAAGUUCCUCUCCCACAGCAGCUGUAAAUUAAGGUCCUCACCAACUUGGCAAGCCUGUCACUGAAAUUACCCCUGUGUCAGAAGGACACCUGCAGUCCCAAGAGGUUUCUCCAAGUACAUCCUAUGGUCCAGGCUAGACCCCUGGCUGUGGCACCAGUCCCAUGACCAUUUGUUGGUUUGCCAGAUUUCAAACCACCUUCCCUUUGAGUGGAACAGUUGGAAAAAAAGCUACUUGUGCUCCAGAAGAUGAUGAAGCGAUUGGAGCAUCUUUCCUAUGAGGAAAUGCUGAGCAAACUGGGCCAGCUCAGCCUUGGGAAGAGAUGGCUGAGAGGGGACCUGAUCCAAGUCUGUCAGUGUCUGCAGGGAGAGGUCGGGGGAUGGACCCAUGUGGGGCCCAGCAGUGAGACAAGAGGAACAGGCAGGAAAAGAUCCUCACGGAGUUCCACCUGAACAUGAGGAACAACUUCUUCCCUGUGCAGUGACUAAGCACUGAAUAGAUUGCCCAGAGACGCUGUGGAGCCUCCCUCACUGGAGAUAUUUCAGAACUUGGACAAAAUCCUGUGCAAUGGGCCCUGGAAUGACCCUGCUUCAGCAGGGAGGUGGGACCAGAUGACCCAUUGUGGUCCCUUUCCAAGCUGCCGCAUUCUGUGACUGUGCCAGACCUGUCUUCCCAGGAAUUCAGGUGUCUAGGCCAUGUCUUACAGGAGCUAGAGGUACCAGCCUGAGCCGGGAUUAGACAAAACUGGAGCUGCUAGAGCUGCACCCCUGCCCCUACACCAAAGAGGUGUUGGCUACCUGAUUCACUGUAGGCUGUAAAUUCCUGUGGCUCCUGCGAGCCCACAGGGCUCUCCUGUGAGGCCUGGUGGAAAUCUCCCCAUGACCUGGAACACGCUCAAGCACACUCCUGGAGGCUGAGACCCCCUUACCCAGCACCUGAUGUCUAUAGUGAGGUAACAUCUUUUGCAUUAAAGCUAAAAGUAUAUUUUAUGUUCAUGACAUUUAUAUUUCCAGCUACAGAUUUAGGUUUAGAAGUGUAGUAAGUAGCAGAGUCUAAUCAUGGUUUAAAUCAUUGUUGAAAUCAGAAACUAAAACAUGGUUCAAUUAUCAUUUCAUUACAGCUUAAUCAUUAAAUAUUGUUAAAUCAUUGUUAAAUUAUAAUUGAAUUAUUCCUUAAUCACCAUUUGCAAUUUAUCAUUAAAUAUCAUUUGAUCAUCACCUAAUCAUUAAUAAAACCUUUUUGUUAUCUCCAUAAUGAUGAAUUCUCUUAAAAAUUCACCUGUGCCAGUAGAGUUGUGGGCGUAUGAGUGGGAGAGGGAGAGAAAAGGAAACAGAUGUGGUAAUGGCUGCUAACACUGCAGAUGUUGUGGCUCUACUUUUGUUCAUUUAUGACUGUGAAGAAUAAAGCACAGGAAUAAGGAAAUAGAAUGUUUGUGAACAAAGGCCUCUGAUGACAAAGCUGUAAAUUUCCAGUUGGGACAGGUAUAUGUAACAAUCAAAAUGCAAACCUGUACAAGGCAACAACCAGAGUAUUGUGAUUCAGACCUCUGAAAGAAAACCGUUUAGUCACAUUGAUAAAAAGCAUUCCUCUUUGAAGAGACUACUACUGUUUAACUACUGACUUCUCAGUAUUCACCACUGGUGCCUGAGGAAUAUACACCCUCUUCCUCCCCUCCCCCCCACAACCUAUGAACCAGAAUGUUUAUCCUGCGCAGGAAGGCGUAGUGAAUGGAAUGCCCUGGUUCUGGGAGAUCCUGGUGAUCUGCUUGAGCCCCAAAGGGAGAAAAUGAGGUAAAGGCAGGAGAUGAAAAAUAAUCUGUGGUAUAAUUAUAUUAUGCCCUUGUUGGACAGACAAGAAAGCAGCAGAUUUCACAUGUGCAGGAGGGUGCUCAUCCUGGCUUUCAUGCUUGCAAAGGCUUGCUGAACCUGGUGUGCCCUUACGGUUGUACAUAAAUGAUUUUCUCAGUGACUACAGGAGAGAAGCCAGCCCAGGAACCUGUAGUGUACAUAGCACAGUUUUGCUUGUUUGCAUGUUUUGCUGCAUCAUAGCGCAACUGCAGAUUUCCUCGACAGCCUUUGAUUCUAAAUGUCAGCGACUUCAGCCACUGGGUUUCUUAGGUGCUCCUCGUUCCCUUCGAGUGAGCUCCCACGUAGCGCAAGGUGACCCGUAAAGCACCGGGAUUAACAGCAGUUACCUCAGUGGUGAUAGUCAAAGCGGAGAGGGCGUUAGGUAAGAAAAGCUGAUCCCACCUCCACUCUCUGCCGUCCUUGCAGGACAGCAGACACAGAGGGCAUUUCAGUGUGCCCGGUCCUCAGACCCUUGCCCGGAUUUCAGACCAGAGAGGUUGUGGCCAUGCUUCUACCUCGGGCGAGAGCUCCUCUGGGUGGCACCAAGCGCAGGGCAGAAGCUGGCUGGCUUUUUCCACGUUCCCUUAAGA